ensembl:miRNA cin-mir-4180 cin-mir-4180
UCUGCCAUACCCUGAGACUUUAUCAUGGUAUGAUGUUGGUUAUCUAAUAUUACACUACUGGUGGUAGAAUCUUACUGUAUGGCAG